GUACUACUGAAGAGUCCCAAACUAGGACGAAACGGCUGUCCAGUAC
rnacentral:hammerhead_ribozyme from 1 species